rnacentral:rRNA from 1 species
UACAGAGGGUGCGAGCGUUAAUCGGAAUUACUGGGCGUAAAGCGUGCGUAGACGGUUAUUUAAGUCGGGUGUGAAAGCCCCGGGCUCAACCUGGGAAUUGCAUUCGAGACUGAAUAGCUAGGGUACGGUAGAGGGAAGCGGAAUUUCCGGUGUAGCGGUGAAAUGCGUAGAUAUCGGGAGGAACACCAGUGGCGAAGGCGACUACCUGGCCUGUUCUUGACGCUGAGGCGCGAAAGCUAGGGGAGCAAACGGG